AACGAACGCUGGCGGCAGGCUUAACACAUGCAAGUCGAACGCCCCGCAAGGGGAGUGGCAGACGGGUGAGUAACGCGUGGGAACGUACCUUUCAGUUCGGAAUAACUCAGGGAAACUUGUGCUAAUACCGGAUACGCCCGCAAGGGGAAAGAUUUAUCGCUGAAAGAUCGGCCCGCGUUGGAUUAGCUAGUUGGUGGGGUAAAGGCCUACCAAGGCGACGAUCCAUAGCUGGUCUGAGAGGAUGAUCAGCCACACUGGGACUGAGACACGGCCCAGACUCCUACGGGAGGCAGCAGUGGGGAAUAUUGGACAAUGGGCGCAAGCCUGAUCCAGCCAUGCCGCGUGUGUGAUGAAGGCCUUAGGGUUGUAAAGCACUUUCACCGAUGAAGAUAAUGACGGUAGUCGGAGAAGAAAGCCCCGGCUAACUUCGUGCCAGCAGCCGCGGUAAAGUCUGU
rnacentral:rRNA from 1 species